rnacentral:misc_RNA from 1 species
UCAAACUUGGUCAUUUAGAGGAAGUAAAAGUCGUAACAAGGUUUCCGUAGGUGAACCUGCGGAAGGAUCAUUAUCGUAUCUCUGACGGUGCGGGUGCACCCUGCUCCGGUCCAAAAGGGCCGUGCAGCGGGUGGCCCGUGCUGAUCAACCCUUUGCAAACCCACUGUGAACCUUCACGGCAGAGGGUGCCGGCGAGAGCUGCGCCCGAAGCCGCAUUUACCAAAAACACCAGUUUGAAAUGAAUGUCCAGCAGACUUGUGUCUGCCUAUGAAGCAUGACAACUUUCAACAACGGAUCUCUUGGCUCUCGCAUCGAUGAAGAACGCAGC